GUGAGGAAUAUUGGUCAAUGGACGAGAGCCUGAACCAGCCAAGUCGCGUGAAGGAAGAAGGAUCUAUGGUUCGUAAACUUCUUUUGCAGGGGAAUAAAGUGCGGGACGUGUCCUGUUUUGUAUGUACCCUGAGAAUAAGGAUCGGCUAACUCCGUGCCAGCAGCCGCGGUAAUACGGAGGAUCCGAGCGUUAUCCGGAUUUAUUGGGUUUAAAGGGUGCGUAGGUGGUUUGAUAAGUCAGCGGUGAAAGUUUGCAGCUUAACUGUAAAAAUGCCGUUGAAACUGUCGGACUUGAGUGUAAAUGAGGUAGGCGGAAUGCGUGGUGUAGCGGUGAAAUGCAUAGAUAUCACGCAGAACUCCGAUUGCGAAGGCAGCUUACUAAGCUACAACUGACACUGAAGCACGAAAGCGUGGGGAUCAAACAGGAUUAGAAACCCUGGUAGUCC
rnacentral:rRNA from 1 species